rnacentral:rRNA from 1 species
AUAAUGGGUCAGCGACUUAUAUUCUGUAGCAAGGUUAACCGAAUAGGGGAGCCGAAGGGAAACCGAGUCUUAACUGGGCGUUAAGUUGCAGGGUAUAGACCCGAAACCCGGUGAUCUAGCCAUGGGCAGGUUGAAGGUUGGGUAACACUAACUGGAGGACCGAACCGACUAAUGUUGAAAAAUUAGCGGAUGACUUGUGGCUGGGGGUGAAAGGCCAAUCAAACCGGGAGAUAGCUGGUUCUCCCCGAAAGCUAUUUAGGUAGCGCCUCGUGAAUUCAUCUCCGGGGGUAGAGCACUGUUUCGGCAAGGGGGUCAUCCCGACUUACCAACCCGAUGCAAACUGCGAAUACCGGAGAAUGUUAUCACGGGAGACACACGGCGGGUGCUAACGUCCGUCGUGAAGAGGGAAACAACCCAGACCGCCAGCUAAGGUCCCAAAGUCAUGGUUAAGUGGGAAACGAUGUGGGAAGGCCCAGACAGCCAGGAUGUUGGCUUAGAAGCAGCCAUCAUUUAAAGAAAGCGUAAUAGCUCACUGGUCGAGUCGGCCUGCGCGGAAGAUGUAACGGGGCUAAACCAUGCACCGAAGCUGCGGCAGCGACGCUGAUGCGUUGUUGGGUAGGGGAGCGUUCUGUAAGCCUGCGAAGGUGUGCUGUGAGGCAUGCUGGAGGUAUCAGAAGUGCGAAUGCUGACAUAAGUAACGAUAAAGCGGGUGAAAAGCCCGCUCGCCGGAAGACCAAGGGUUCCUGUCCAACGUUAAUCGGGGCAGGGUGAGUCGACCCCUAAGGCGAGGCCGAAAGGCGUAGUCGAUGGGAAACAGGUUAAUAUUCCUGUACUUGGUGUUACUGCGAAGGGGGGACGGAGAAGGCUAUGUUGGCCGGGCGACGGUUGUCCCGGUUUAAGCGUGUAGGCUGGUUUUCCAGGCAAAUCCGGAAAAUCAAGGCUGAGGCGUGAUGACGAGGCACUGCGGUGCUGAAGCAACAAAUGCCCUGCUUCCAGGAAAAGCCUCUAAGCAUCAGGUAACAUCAAAUCGUACCCCAAACCGACACAGGUGGUCAGGUAGAGAAUACCAAGGCGCUUGAGAGAACUCGGGUGAAGGAACUAGGCAAAAUGGUGCCGUAACUUCGGGAGAAGGCACGCUGAUAUGUAGGUGAAGUCCCUCGCGGAUGGAGCUGAAAUCAGUCGAAGAUACCAGCUGGCUGCAACUGUUUAUUAAAAACACAGCACUGUGCAAACACGAAAGUGGACGUAUACGGUGUGACGCCUGCCCGGUGCCGGAAGGUUAAUUGAUGGGGUUAGCGCAAGCGAAGCUCUUGAUCGAAGCCCCGGUAAACGGCGGCCGUAACUAUAACGGUCCUAAGGUAGCGAAAUUCCUUGUCGGGUAAGUUCCGACCUGCACGAAUGGCGUAAUGAUGGCCAGGCUGUCUCCACCCGAGACUCAGUGAAAUUGAACUCGCUGUGAAGAUGCAGUGUACCCGCGGCAAGACGGAAAGACCCCGUGAACCUUUACUAUAGCUUGACACUGAACAUUGAGCCUUGAUGUGUAGGAUAGGUGGGAGGCUUUGAAGUGUGGACGCCAGUCUGCAUGGAGCCGACCUUGAAAUACCACCCUUUAAUGUUUGAUGUUCUAACGUUGACCCGUAAUCCGGGUUGCGGACAGUGUCUGGUGGGUAGUUUGACUGGGGCGGUCUCCUCCUAAAGAGUAACGGAGGAGCACGAAGGUUGGCUAAUCCUGGUCGGACAUCAGGAGGUUAGUGCAAUGGCAUAAGCCAGCUUGACUGCGAGCGUGACGGCGCGAGCAGGUGCGAAAGCAGGUCAUAGUGAUCCGGUGGUUCUGAAUGGAAGGGCCAUCGCUCAACGGAUAAAAGGUACUCCGGGGAUAACAGGCUGAUACCGCCCAAGAGUUCAUAUCGACGGCGGUGUUUGGCACCUCGAUGUCGGCUCAUCACAUCCUGGGGCUGAAGUAGGUCCCAAGGGUAUGGCUGUUCGCCAUUUAAAGUGGUACGCGAGCUGGGUUUAGAACGUCGUGAGACAGUUCGGUCCCUAUCUGCCGUGGGCGCUGGAGAACUGAGGGGGGCUGCUCCUAGUACGAGAGGACCGGAGUGGACGCAUCACUGGUGUUCGGGUUGUCAUGCCAAUGGCACUGCCCGGUAGCUAAAUGCGGAAGAGAUAAGUGCUGAAAGCAUCUAAGCACGAAACUUGCC